rnacentral:rRNA from 1 species
GGACUACAGGGGUAUCUAAUCCUGUUUGCUCCCCACGCUUUCGCGCCUGAGCGUCAGCGGUCGGCCAGGGCACUGCCUUCGCCAUAGGUGUUCUUCCGGAUCUCUACGCAUUUCACCGCUCCACCCGGAGUUCCAUGCCCCUCUCCGACGCUCAAGCCACUCCGUUUGCCUGGACCUCCCCCGGUUAAGCCGAGGGCUUUCACCAGACACAAAAGUGGCCGCCUGCGCGCCCUUUACGCCCAGUAAUUCCGGACAACGCUUGUCUCCUACGUAUUACCGCGGCUGCUGGCAC